CCUACGGGAGGCAGCAGUGAGGAAUAUUGGUCAAUGGCCGAGAGGCUGAACCAGCCAAGCCGCGUGAGGGAAGACGGCCCUACGGGUUGUAAACCCCUUUUGUCGGGGAGCAAAGCGAGUUACGUGUGACUUAUUCAGAGUACCCGAAGAAAAAGCAUCGGCAAACUCCGUGCCAGCAGCCGCGGUAAAACGGAGGCUGCGAGCGUUAUCCGGAUUUAUUGGGUUAAAAGGGUGCGCAGGCGGAGGUGCAAGUCAGCGGUCAAAUUGCGGGGGUCAACCCAGUACUGCCGUUGAAACUGGAUGCCUUGAGUGCGCGAGAGGUAUGCGGAAUGCGUGGUGUAGCGGUGAAAUGCAUAGAUAUCACGCAGAACUCCGAUUGCGAAGGCAGCAUACCGGCGCGCAACUGACGCUCAUGCACGAAAGCGUGGGUAUCGAACAGGAUUAGAUACCCGAGUAGUC
rnacentral:rRNA from 1 species